UACGGAGGGGGCAAGCGUUAUUCGGAAUUAUUGGGCGUAAAGCGCGCGCAGGUGGUUCCUUAAGUCUGAUGUGAAAGCCCACGGCUCAACCGUGGAGGGUCAUUGGAAACUGGGGAACUUGAGUGCAGAAGAGGAAAGUGGAAUUCCAAGUGUAGCGGUGAAAUGCGUAGAGAUUUGGAGGAACACCAGUGGCGAAGGCGACUUUCUGGUCUGUAACUGACACUGAGGCGCGAAAGCGUGGGGAGCAAACAGG
rnacentral:rRNA from 1 species